rfam:Oesophagostomum dentatum strain OD-Hann O_dentatum-1.0_Cont736440.1, whole genome shotgun sequence.
AGCUGGGUAGCGCAAUGGUAAGUGUGCGGACUAGUGAGCAGGUGGUCACGGGUUCGAAUCCUGUCCUUGCCA